rnacentral:rRNA from 1 species
GACGUAGGGCGCGAGCGUUGUCCGGAUUUAUUGGGCGUAAAGAGCUCGUAGGCGGCUGUUCAAGUCGAACGUGAAAACUCGGAGCUCAACUCCGAGCCUGCGUUCGAUACUGGACGGCUAGAGUCUGGUAGGGGGAUCUGGAAUUCCUGGUGUAGCGGUGGAAUGCGCAGAUAUCAGGAGGAACACCGGUGGCGAAGGCGGCAUCCUGGACCGGUAUUGACGCUGAGGCGCGAAAGCUAGGGGAGCAAACGGG